AUCAAUUCAUUUACUUCUUUUCCAUUCUUGUUAGCUCAGAUAUGUAUCUGUUGUCUGAAAAAAGUUUAGUGUGCCUAAUUAGUGAUUUUCCUUGGAAUUCAUGUGUGCACUUGGUAGAAUCUUAAAAUUUUCUGUAGUUGGUCUCUUAUUAAUGUUAUUAUUGGAUUAUUGAUGCAUACUGUGAGAGUGUGAGUGUAGUGGACAAGGUAAUGGUGGGGUCAUGAUAUGAAAAAAAGAAUUUAACUUUACACUAAUGGCAUUUCAUUUUAUAGGAUAUGACCUGACCCUUCAAGGUUGAAGCCAUUAUUACCGUUAAUACUGUGCUGAUGUGUGCUACAGCUAUUGGCAUUGUUACUUAAGACGAUUUGCUAAUGAACUCUCUUUACGUUUUAGGAACAUGAACAUCUCCUACCUGUUCUAUUCUAGAUGUAUUCUGUAAAAAAUUUCAUGAAAUGUCGUGUAUCGCACUGAUGGCUAACGGUGUGCUUGUUUGGCACUUGUGCUUUAUCUGUUGAUUUUAAAGCUCUUGGUCAUGCUUUAUCGGCGGCCUUGUGAAAGCCUGCCUAAUAACUAAUUACAAGUAUUUAAUUAUUUAGAAUCAGUUAAUUAAAUAACUAAUGUCAUAUCGGAUUUCGUUUAUCCAAAUAAAGAUGUCGAAUGAAAUUAGUUGAGUACUUAGAUGGAACUACCACCAGAUUUAUUUGCUGAAUAGAUAUACAAAUUCUGAAUAUAAUACUAAUACCAUAGUACUCAUUUGAUAAUGCAUUUUAUCCACCUCAAUGUCCAUAUUCUAAAAUAUUGGGCCCGUCAAUAUCAGUUAAUUUAUUUGUAAUCUCUCUUUUAUUUUCUGCAUUUUCUAUUUGAUUACUCUUGACCUUGGUGAAGCAUGCUAAAAUGCUCACAGGAACUUUUGAUGUGUCUGCGCAAUGAACUUGUCUACGCGUAAUUUCUUAAUGACUUAAUUAGAUUCGUAACCUGAGAUCCUUGGGGGUAAAAUAUACUUGAUCACUUGCAGGAAAAUUAUAUGCAACUGUAUCAGACCCACUACCUGGUGAAAAUUUGGAGCAGCCAAUCCUGUGGGGUCUUCAUGGUCUCGCAUUGCAGCUAUCGCCUUUUUGGGGCUGGAUUGAAUGUAUACAACUACAACAAAGCCUUAGUCUCAAAAGAUUGGGUUCGGCUACAUAAAUUGUCAUAAGAAACCGCCCGAGAAGAAAAAAAGAGCAUAUAACAAAAUAAUUGGCUGAAUUGAAUGUAUAUACUUUUAUAAGUUUAUUUAAUUCAUGUACAAGUGUAGUGUAAUUUUGUACUGAGAGCUGACAUUUGGUUAGCUCUUUGUUUCAAGAAGGGUCAUAUGAUCCCUAUCAAGUUUUUUGUGGUUAAAUCCACUUAAGUCAAAAAGGGCCCAUUGAAUUGCUUGCAGAUUUAGUCUUUAAUUACUAGUAUUUGUAUUAUCUACCAGCUUCAUGGGGCUGCUUCAACAAUUUAAUUUGCCAUUAAUUUCAUGUAGUUGUAUUAACUUUUGCUCGUUUUAUUGUAAAUUACACGAUCCCUUAUCUAAUA